rnacentral:rRNA from 1 species
UACGGAGGGUGCAAGCAUUAAUCGGAUUUAUUGGGCGUAAAGGGCGCGUAGGCGGAAUGAUAAGUCAGAUGUGAAAUCCCGGGGCUCAACCUCGGAACAGCAUUUGAAACUGUCACUCUAGAGGCUAGAAGGAGAAAACGGAAUUCCACAAGUAGCGGUGAAAUGCGUAGAUAUGUGGAAGAACACCGGUGGCGAAGGCGGUUUUCUAUUUUAGACCUGACGCUGAGGCGCGAAAGCAAGGGGAUCAAACAGG